AUCCCUGUAGUGCAAUGAAUAGCGCGUUGGACUUCUAAUCCAAAGGUCGUGGGUCCAUAUCCCACCUGGAAUA